rnacentral:rRNA from 1 species
CAAUAGCGUAUAUUAAAGUUGUUGCGGUUAAAAAGCUCGUAGUUGGAUUUCUGCUGAGGACGAUCGGUCCGCCCUCUGGGUGAGUAUCUGGCUCGGCCUUGGCAUCUUCUUGGAGAACGUUACUGCACUUGACUGUGUGGUGCGGUAUCCAGGACUUUUACUUUGAGGAAAUUAGAGUGUUUCAAGCAGGCGCACGCCUUGAAUACAUUAGCAUGGAAUAAUAAGAUAGGACCUUGGUUCUAUUUUGUUGGUUUCUAGAGCUGAGGUAAUGAUUAAUAGGGAUAGUUGGGGGCAUUCGUAUUUAACUGUCAGAGGUGAAAUUCUUGGAUCUGUUAAAGACGGACUACUGCGAAAGCAUUUGCCAAGGAUGUUUUCAUUGA